UACAGAGGGUGCGAGCGUUUAUCGGAAUUACUGGGCGUAAAGGGUGCGUAGGUGGUUCGAUAAGUCAGAUGUGAAAUCCCUGGGCUUAACCUGGGAAUUGCAUUUGAUACUGUCAAACUAGAGUGUGGUAGAGGUAAGCGGAAUUCCCGGUGUAGCGGUGAAAUGCGUAGAUAUCGGGAGGAACAUCAGUGGCGAAGGCGGCUUACUGGACCAACACUGACACUGAGGCACGAAAGCGUGGGUAGCAAAC
rnacentral:rRNA from 1 species